AAUAAGCAGCUGUGGCUGUUCUGCUGGACUUGCUGAAACCCUCCCCUAAAGGGAACUCACGUUCUAACAGAGGCAGCUGGGAACAAGGAGCAGGAGUUUUCCUUGACUGAACUUUGUGUGUGGUGAGACACUGCAGCCUGGGGAGCACCCCCCUGAGCGUGACCUGGGACCCCACCUUCCAGAUCCAGGUGACCAUUGAGCCGGGACAAGAGGGCGGCCAGCCCCCCGGAGAACGUGUGUGUGGUGAGACACAUUAAGCCUGGGGAGCAUCCACUGAGGGUGACCUGAGAUUCCCAGCCCACAGACCAGGGUGCUACCAUGGCGAUCGUAGUUGGCGGCCUCAUUGGCUCAGGAGUUGGGGCUCUCAUCGGCACGGGAAUUGGGGCUCUCAUCUCAUACUUCAGGGACGAGCCA